rnacentral:rRNA from 1 species
AUUGAACGCUGGCGGCAGGCCUAACACAUGCAAGUCGAACGGUAACAGGAAGCAGCUUGCUGCUUUGCUGACGAGUGGCGGACGGGUGAGUAAUGUCUGGGAAACUGCCCGAUGGAGGGGGAUAACUACUGGAAACGGUAGCUAAUACCGCAUAACGUCGCAAGACCAAAGAGGGGGACCUUAGGGCCUCUUGCCAUCGGAUGUGCCCAGAUGGGAUUAGCUAGUAGGUGGGGUAACGGCUCACCUAGGCGACGAUCACUAGCUGGUCUGAGAGGAUGACCAGCCACACUGGAACUGAGACACGGUCCAGACUCCUACGGGAGGCAGCAGUGGGGAAUAUUGCACAAUGGGCGCAAGCCUGAUGCAGCCAUGCCGCGUGUAUGAAGAAGGCCUUCGGGUUGUAAAGUACUUUCAGCGGGGAGGAAGGGAGUAAAGUUAAUACCUUUGCUCAUUGACGUUACCCGCAGAAGAAGCACCGGCUAACUCCGUG